rnacentral:tRNA from 1 species
GGAGGCGUGCCAGAGUGGUUGAACGGGUCGCUCUCGAAAAGCGAUAUAUCCGUAAGGGUAUCGGAGGUUCGAAUCCUCCCGCCUCCG